rnacentral:rRNA from 1 species
CAGCAGCCGCGGUAAAACGGAGGGUGCAAGCGUUAAUCGGAAUUACUGGGCGUAAAGCGCACGCAGGCGGUCUGACAAGUCAGAUGUGAAAUCCCCGGGCUUAACCUGGGAACUGCAUUUGAAACUGUCAGGCUGGAGUCUUGUAGAGGGGGGUGGAAUUCCAGGUGUAGCGGUGAAAUGCGUAGAGAUCUGGAGGAAUACCGGUGGCGAAGGCGGCCCCCUGGACAAAGACUGACGCUCAGGUGCGAAAGCGUGGGGAGCAAACAGGAUUAGAUACCCGUGUAGUCCCUGUCUCUUAUAU